AUGCUUCAAUAAGGUGCUGAAGGGUGAAGUGCAUUACCCGUGACGGCAAUAGUUCAAUACACAUUUGACAAGAUGAAUGCAUAAUUUUUAAAGUACUCAAUGGAGACGGAUAAGCAGAUUGUUGGUGAGAACAAGGAAAAGCACAAGUACAAUUUCCCACCAAAGGUUGAAGAAUGGUUGGAAUUUCAAUCAUGGAAGGCAGACUCCCAAGAGGCUAUACUAUGUGACGACAAUGAUUGGAUGUAUGAAGUGAAAGAGCCUAGAAGAACCACAAACAAUGGCCACCAACACGAAGGCCGGGUUUUCAAGGUCUCCCUAACACGGUGUGAUUGCACUUGCAUGAGGCCAUCGUUGCUUCAUCUCCCAUGCUGGCACUUGUUAAACGCAUCUCGUGUUAGGAACGUGGACGUCAAUCACCCUCUUAUUGUGCGGGAGUCCGAGUUCUCAAUCAUGACGGAAAAGAAUACAUGCCCCCCGUUUCAGCCAUACUUGGACCGAUCACAAUGGCCGGAGUAUCAUGGAGUUCAACUAUGGCCAAACCCAGAAUUGAAGGUCAUCAGAUGGGGAAGACGUAAGACACAGCGUCUUAGAGGUGACAUGGACAGAUGGGGCCGUGGUGGCGGUCAAGAAUCCGGCACCGGCCAAUUCCAAGAGCCUCGUGAGCAAUCCUGUUGUGGGGAGUGCAAUGGUGGGGGACACAACAUGAGAACUUGUAGCAAACCAAGAAAGAGAUCAAAGAAAAAUGAUGCAAGCUCAAGCCAAGCAAAUGGUAGCCAACCAAGUCAACCAAGUAGUAGCCAACCAAGCCAAACAAGUGCCCAAGUGCCAAACCAAUCAAAUAAACCAAGCCAACGAGGAACUAGGCAACAAAGAGGGAGUCAACUAGGUCCUAUAAGAGGCCUUGGUGGUGGUAGAGGCCGUGGUGAUGGUCUUGGCCGUGGUGGUGGUAGAGGCCGUGGUGAUGGUCCUGGCCAUGGUGAUGGUAGAGACCGUGGUGAUGGUCUUGGCUGUGGUGGUGGUAGAGGCUGUGGUGAUGGUAGAGUCCGUGGUGGUGGUCUAGGCCGCGGUGGCGGUUGCUUAGAAAGAGAGGUGUCGAUAAAAACAAAAAUACGGACAUAG
rnacentral:rRNA from 1 species